UUUUAGUGUUUGUUUCUUACACUUUUUUUUUGAUAGAUUCACACCUAUGAAUAUGAUACUAAACAUUUUUUUGCUUAUUCUUUCUCUUAAUUAAAGGUUACUGGUCUAAAUGUUCUUUAAGAGGUUUAGUUUUGUGGCUUGUAAGUGUGAAGAAAAGGCACUGAAGAUGCACAGGAUUAAAGAACAUCUACUGUAAUCCUCUGAGCCUGGACGACUCCUCAUUCAUGGCACUAGCAAUAAAUAGAAAUCAAAGAAAGACAUUGAGAACAAACUGGAGCAUUUAAAAGCUCAAACUCUGGAAAUACCAGAAACUACUGGAAAAGAAGGCAAGAACACUUCAAUGUACAUCUGGAAGCAGCUGAGCAGUCUUCAUGGAUUCAAAAAAUUUGGAACAUCUGCAUAGAAAAGCAAAGGACUUCUCCCAGUGUGGAUAAAGAAACUUUUAAAAUGAGCCUGAUGGCAGCCAGAUACCAACAACAGGAUCACAAAGUUACUUACAGGGGCAGAUCCGGCCGUUGCAAUCUACGUGCCCUUCCCUGGCAGAGUGAAAUACUGGUAACUCACUGAACCUCUGGGUAAGUGCGUAAAGAUGCAGAGACUUCAACUUUGGCAAAACAAGACAACCCUCUUCAGCAGUAGCAGCUUCACCAUCCCCAGUGGUUUGCAGGUUAUUUCCUCACUAUGUCUAUGUUUCUGAUCUUCAAAGCAACACAGACCUGGCUUCCCCAGAGUUUGGUUCUUUAAUCAUAAAAACACAGGUACUCCUCUGAAGCAAGCAGUAUCACCCAGAUCAGGGUGAUGCAAGUGAAAACGUGGCAAUCAAGAGAAAGUCCCUUAACUGAAGUGUUCAUUGAUAGAACUUCAGCCUACAGAACAUCAAGAUAAUUCAGCCAACGGUUCCCAAAACUGUCUAGCUGGAUAAUCCGGGCAGCUUGUACCACUGACAGAGUAAAGCCACACGCGGGCUGGAAGUGCCUGGCGCUCACCUGCGAUGCAUUCCACUGCACGGUCUCAGGAGAUAGGAAAUUUCCCAAA
rnacentral:lncRNA from 1 species